rnacentral:rRNA from 1 species
UGGGGAAUAUUGCACAAUGGGGGAAACCCUGAUGCAGCGACGCCGCGUGAGCGAAGAAGGUUUUCGAAUCGUAAAGCUCUGUCCUAUGAGAAGAUAAUGACGGUAUCAUAGGAGGAAGCCCCGGCUAAAUACGUGCCAGCAGCCGCGGUAAUACGUAUGGGGCGAGCGUUGUCCGGAAUUAUUGGGCGUAAAGGGCUUGUAGGCGGUUGGCCGCGUCUGCCGUGAAAUCCUCUGGCUUAACUGGGGGCGUGCGGUGGGUACGGGUUGACUUGAGUGCGGUAGGGGAGACUGGAAUUCCUGGUGUAGCGGUGGAAUGCGCAGAUAUCAGGAGGAACACCGGUGGCGAAGGCGGGUCUCUGGGCCGUUACUGACGCUGAGGAGCGAAAGCGUGGGGAGCGAACAGG